UUGCCGUCAAAGCCCUUGUUGAAGGGCAUGGCAAUCUAGAGGUCUUGAUUGCUUACCAACAACCGUUUCUUCUCCUUACCAUAUGGGUGAUGGACCAUUAGGUAGAGUAUUGAGUAUGAAAGAGCCCAUAGAUUACUGAUCAAGUUUACAGCACCAAAAGGUAACUAAACAGCACAUCAGAGAACAGCUGUGCUCCACAGUUUACACCACCAAAAGUUUGGAAAUCCUAAUAAUGGUCUCACGUGCUCAACAGAUUAACAGGCCGAACAACAAAACCGAAUUCGUCACUACAUCCUAGUGUUUCAUAUCCAGCUAGUACCCGUAGUUCGGAGGGUAGUGUGCCCCAUAGCCUCCUCCAUUGUGAGGGGUAGGACCUGCGCCGCCUGGAGGGGUUGCAUACGACAGUCCUCCAUACGGCGGGUAUGAGUUGUAGCCCGAGUCAACUGGUUGAGAGGGAGGAGCGGGACCUGGUGGAGGAACUUGGGGAG
rnacentral:lncRNA from 1 species